UACAGAGGUCUCAAGCGUUGUUCGGAUUCAUUGGGCGUAAAGGGUGUGUAGGUGGCGCGCUAAGUCGGGUGUGAAAUUUCGGAGCUUAACUCCGAAACUGCAUUCGAUACUGGCGUGCUUGAGGACUGGAGAGGAGACUGGAAUUUACGGUGUAGCAGUGAAGUGCGCAGAUAUCAGGAGGAACACCAAUGGCGAAGGCAGCUCGCUGGGACGGUACUGACGCUGAGGCACGAAGGCCAGGGGAGCAAACGGG
rnacentral:rRNA from 1 species